GCUAGAGGAAGCUUAGUGCCUUCGGGAACUCUGAGACAGGUGCUGCAUGGCUGUCGUCAGCUCGUGUUGUGAAAUGUUGGGUUAAGUCCCGCAACGAGCGCAACCCUUAUCCUUUGUUGCCAGCACGUAAUGGUGGGAACUCAAAGGAGACUGCCGGUGAUAAACCGGAGGAAGGUGGGGAUGACGUCAAGUCAUCAUGGCCCUUACGAGUAGGGCUACACACGUGCUACAAUGGCGUAUACAAAGAGAAGCGAACUCGCGAGAGCAAGCGGACCUCAUAAAGUACGUCGUAGUCCGGAUCGGAGUCUGCAACUCGACUCCGUGAAGUCGGAAUCGCUAGUAAUCGUAGAUCAGAAUGCUACGGUGAAUACGUUCCCG
rnacentral:rRNA from 1 species